UUAAUUUCGUUUUCCUCAAGUCUAAGAACAUUAGAACCUUAGCUUAACAGAGUGUUCUUCAAAAUCACAAGAGAAAACUUGGCCCUUUUGGCUGGAAUUCAAGAACACACACUUCUUUUUGGUUGUAUAUACUCGUGAACAAGUUGAGGACCUUGAUACAUUGGUUGGACUGUUUCCUUGCUAAAGCACUGAGGGAAUGAUCGAGAGGAGGCAUGAAGCUGGCCAUUGGGGAUGGAAGAUCACAAUUGCAUAUAGACAUCUAUAUUUUGCAUAAACCUUGGGACUUGUA